CAAGGGAUAGUUUAAGUAAAAUAUUAAUUUUGGAGAUUAAUGAUAAGAGUAAUCUUUUCCUUGA
rnacentral:tRNA from 1 species